ensembl:snRNA U6 U6 spliceosomal RNA
GUGCUUGCUUCCCCAGCACAUAUACUAAAAUUGGAACCAUACAGAAAAGAUUAGCAUGGUCCCUACGCGAGGAUGACACGCAAAUUCGUGAAGUGUUCCACAUUAAA